UACGUAGGUGGCAAGCGUUAUCCGGAUUUACUGGGCGUAAAGCGCGUGUAGGUGGUUCUGUAAGUAGGGCGUGAAAGCUCCUGGCUCAACUGGGAGAGGCCGUUCUAAACUGCAGAGCUAGAGGAUGGUAGAGGGAGGUGGAAUUCCAGGUGUAGCGGUGGAAUGCGCAGAUAUCUGGAGGAACACCAGUGGCGAAGGCGGCCUCCUGGACCAUUCCUGACACUCAGACGCGAAAGCUAGGGUAGCAAACGGGAUUAGAUACCCCUGUA
rnacentral:rRNA from 1 species